rnacentral:misc_RNA from 1 species
CCGGCGACAAGGGCGAAAGAGGGAAGGAGGAUCGCCCAACGAUACGGCGAUGAGGAGUGACUCAACGUACUCUCUAGCAUUCGAAGAGCAUACUUCCGCAAGCAUUCCUCUUGACCGCGUUUAGCUCUUCUGCUCAUUUCAGAUGUCGAGGAACCGAGUCACAUUAUAGGUGUUCGCUGCUGUCUUAUUUUUCUUUUGUGCACACACACUUUGCCGCCUUGCGUGCUCACAACAAUCACCAUCCCUCAUGUAACGGAAAAAGCGGGAUACGUGAGUGUGCCCUCCCCCCUCUCCCAUUCGAGCGUAGUGUUAUCGAGGGCGCGAGUGGGGAGCACAGGCCGGAUCGGUUUACGCUUCCACGGAAAUGAGAGGCCCGGCCGUUUGGCCGCGUUGCCGACAUACACUCGAAUGCAUCCCCUGCCUCUUUGGGAAACGUUUUCUCUCCUCUUUUAUUCGUUGCCGCCCCUUUGCUUUCACUGCCGCUCUUCCCGUAGGCUGCCAGUCAGAGGGCGCAUAUGGCGGUCUAAACGCGGUCGUACGUAUGUCAGCUGGUCUGGCCGAACCGGCGCAUUGAAGUACAUGGGUGUAGGUGGGAUCGUGGAUGGUGUGGGGAUGACAUAGUAGUACGUGGUACUCUGUGCCGCUCUUUCUGCAGCCGAUUCCCUCGGCUUCAUCCUCUUACGUGGCUGUUAUCCUGCUCCUCUCCCCCGCUUUGCCCUCUGUUUUGCAUUCUGCGUCUUGGGCAUGCGCUUCUUUGCCUAGUUGCCACUGCUGGCGCUUGCGUGGAAGUGGUGCCCGCUCUUCAUCCUGUGCUGGUCUGUGCUCUGCUCUCAUUUUUUUUUCCGUUGCCCGUGCUGGGGAUGGUGUCGGUCGUGGCAUGUGUACAGACCUACGUCCCUGUGCCGCAGGCGAGUUGUGAGCGUGCGCAUACACACAUACACGCCGAUUGGUUAGUUCACUUAGGGGUGCACUGCUUAUGGCCCCUUCGCUCUUUUUGCGCACAUGAUUGUGGGUGGAUUUUGUGUUGUAUUAGUGGAGCGCCUCCUUGUUUCCCUUGGAGGGUGCGCUGUGUUUGGUGGGUGCUUUUCUCUCUGUUUUUCACACAUGAGGUGCGGCGUGUUCCUUCCGUCUCGCGUGCGUGCACGUCUCGAGGACAUCUGAAUGGACGUGGAACUGAUCGGUUGCACCAGUGAGUGCAAGAGAGUGGGGAGGGAGGGCGUGUGCGUGGGUGAGCGAGGCGACACAUCAGCUUGUAAGCACGAGCACAACAGCACAAUCAGAGACCUUUGAGAGAGCACUUUCGGCACCCAUAAAAGACAGUCUUUGUGGCCACUCGAUUGCGCGCAGGCUUGCUGUGUUCCCUCCCCCCAUCUCACGCAGGAGACGUGUGUGUGGUCGCGUGUAGAGGUGGUGAGAGAAUUCUAUUCACUCAGCGCCGUUUGUCCUUCAAAGGCAUACAGGAAGCGCUCUGCUGCCUUUCGGCGCGCCUCUCCCCUCUCUUUUUCUCAUGCAGGUCAGUAAAGUUGAGGUGCAGGGUGGGAGCGAUGAGAAAAAAAGGCGCCUCCUCCUUCGGUGCGAGUUGUCGUAUCAGCCCUUACGCUUCGCGAGCCCCGUCAAGGCUUGACCGCCUCGUCAAGACGUAUGCGUAUGUGCCUGCUUUUUUUUUUGCUUCGCAUCCUGUUUCCCGACUCCUCAAAUUUCCGUCUCUGUCUCUCUUGUACACGUCCCCUUUUAUCCGUGCUUCUCUCCUUUCCCUCUCUCCCGUCUUCUCCAG